AUUGACGCUGGCGGCAGGCCUAACACAUGCAAGUCGAACGGUAGCACACAUAGCUUGCUCUCGGGUGACGAGUGGCGGACGGGUGAGUAAUGUCUGGGAAACUGCCUGAUGGAGGGGGAUAACUACUGGAAACGGUAGCUAAUACCGCAUAACGUCGCAAGACCAAAGAGGGGGACCUUCGGGCCUCUUGCCAUCAGAUGUGCCCAGAUGGGAUUAGCUAGUAGGUGGGGUAACGGCUCACCUAGGCGACGAUCCCUAGCUGGUCUGAGAGGAUGACCAGCCACACUGGAACUGAGACACGGUCCAGACUCCUACGGGAGGCAGCAGUGGGGAAUAUUGCACAAUGGGCGCAAGCCUGAUGCAGCCAUGCCGCGUGUAUGAAGAAGGCCUUCGGGUUGUAAAGUACUUUCAGCGGGGAGGAAGGCGAUAAGGUUAAUAACCUUGUCGAUUGACGUUACCCGCAGAAGAAGCACCGGCUAACUCCGUGCCAGCAGCCGCGGUAAUACGGAGGGUGCAAGCGUUAAUCGGAAUUACUGGGCGUAAAGCGCACGCAGGGCGGUCUGUCAAGUCGGAUGUGAAAUCCCCGGGCUCAACCUGGGAACUGCAUUCGAAACUGGCAGGCUAGAGUCUUGUAGAGGGGGGUAGAAUUCCAGUGUAGCGGUGAAAUGCGUAGAGAUCUGGAGGAAUACCGGUGGCGAAGGCGGCCCCUGGACAAAGACUGACGCUCAGGUGCGAAGCGUGGGGAGCAACAGGAUUAGAUACCCUGGUAGUCCACGCCGUAACGAUGUCGACUUGGAGGUUGUGCCCUUGAGGCGUGCCUUCCGGAGCUACGCGUUAAGUCGACCGCCUG
rnacentral:rRNA from 1 species